rnacentral:rRNA from 1 species
CCAAUAGCGUAUAUUAAAGUUGCUGCAGUUAAAAAGCUCGUAGUUGAAUUUCGGGAUCAAUAUAUCGGUCGUGCCAUUGGUACGUACUGGUAUCAUUGGUUUCUCCUUUCUGACGAACCAUGAUGUCAUUAAUUUGGUGUUAUGGGAAGUUAGGACUGUUACUUUGAAAAAAUUAGAGUGUUUAAAGCAGGCUUUAGCUUGAAUACAUUAGCAUGGAAUAAUGAAAUAGGACGUUCGAACCUAUUUUGUUGGUUUCUAGGAUCAACGUAAUGAUUAAUAGGGAUAGUUGGGGGCAUUAGUAUUCAAUUGUCAGAGGUGAAAUUCUUGGAUUUAUUGAAGACUAACUACUGCGAAAGCAUUUGCCAAGGAUGUUUUCAUUAAUCAAGAACGAAAGUUAGGGGAUCGAAGACGAUCAGAUACCGUCGUAGUCUUAACCAUAAACUAUGCCGACUAGGGAUCGGAUGAUGUUAAUUUUUUAAUGACUCAUUCGGCGCCUUAUG